rnacentral:rRNA from 1 species
UACGUAGGUGGCGAGCGUUGUCCGGAUUUACUGGGCGUAAAGGGAGCGUAGGCGGACUUUUAAGUGAGAUGUGAAAUACCCGGGCUUAACUUGGGUGCUGCAUUUCAAACUGGAAGUCUAGAGUGCAGGAGAGGAGAAUGGAAUUCCUAGUGUAGCGGUGUAAUGCGUAGAGAUUAGGAAGAACACCAGUGGCGAAGGCGAUUCUCUGGACUGUAACUGACGCUGAGACUCGAAAGCGUGGGGAGCAAACAGGAUUAGAUACCCUGGUA